CAGUAGCCACGGUAAAACGAAGGGUGCAAGCGUUAAUCGGAAUUACUGGGCGUAAAGCGUGCGUAGGCGGUGAGUUAAGUCUGCUGUGAAAUCCCCGGGCUCAACCUGGGAAUGGCAGUGGAUACUGGCUCGCUAGAGUGUGUCAGAGGAUGGUGGAAUUCCCGGUGUAGCGGUGAAAUGCGUAGAGAUCGGGAUGAACAUCAGUGGCGAAGGCGGCCAUCUGGGACAACACUGACGCUGAGGCACGAGAGCGUGGGGAGCAAACAGGAUUAGAUACCCGCGUAGUCCCUGUCUCUUAUAC
rnacentral:rRNA from 1 species